GACGAACGCUGGCGGCGUGCCUAAUACAUGCAAGUGGGACGCAAGGAAACACACUGUGCUUGCACACCGUGUUUUCUUGAGUCGCGAACGGGUGAGUAACGCGUAGGUAACCUGCCUAUUAGCGGGGGAUAACUAUUGGAAACGAUAGCUAAUACCGCAUAAUAUUAAUUAUUGCAUGAUAUUGAUUGAAAGAUGCAAGCGCAUCACUAGUAGAUGGACCUGCGUUGUAUUAGCUAGUUGGUAAGGUAAGAGCUUACCAAGGCGACGAUACAUAGCCGACCUGAGAGGGUGAUCGGCCACACUGGGACUGAGACACGGCCCAGACUCCUACGGGAGGCAGCAGUAGGGAAUCUUCGGCAAUGGACGAAAGUCUGACCGAGCAACGCCGCGUGAGUGAAGAAGGUUUUCGGAUCGUAAAGCUCUGUUGUAAGUCAAGAACGUGUGUGAGAGUGGAAAGUUCACACAGUGACGGUAGCUUACCAGAAAGGGACGGCUAACUACGUG
rnacentral:rRNA from 1 species